rnacentral:rRNA from 1 species
GAGUUUGAUCGUGGCUCAGAUUGAACGCUGGCGGCAUGCCUUACACAUGCAAGUCGAACGGCAGCAUGAUCUAGCUUGCUAGAUUGAUGGCGAGUGGCGAACGGGUGAGUAAUACAUCGGAACGUGCCCUGUAGUGGGGAUAACUAGUCGAAAGAUUAGCUAAUACCGCAUACGACCUGAGGGUGAAAGUGGGGGACCGCAAGGCCUCAUGCUAUAGGAGCGGCCGAUGUCUGAUUAGCUAGUUGGUGGGGUAAAGGCCCACCAAGGCGACGAUCAGUAGCUGGGCUGAGAGGACGAUCAGCCACACUGGGACUGAGACACGGCCCAGACUCCUACGGGAGGCAGCAGUGGGGAAUUUGGACAAUGGGCGAAAGCCUGAUCCAGCAAUGCCGCGUGUGUG